GAGAGAGAGAGAGAACGCACGAGAAGGAGGGGUAGGGUGAGGAAAGGAGAUUUCCGGACUCGGUGCAGCCAAUGAACGGACUCCACAUGCGGAGCGAGUCGACAGGGGGGCCGCUGUGAGACACAUUCAAUAAAACGCGAUAGGCGCUGCAGAGCCCAGCCACUGACAGGAGCCGCAGCCGGAAAGCGAUAACUCCCCGGGCUGCCGAAGAAAGGAGAAAAAAAAAAAGAAAAAAAGGAUAAAUAUAUGUAUAUUUUUUUUUAAAAAAGAACGUACAGAUUCAAGGGCACCGCAGCUUUGGAAGGCAAGACGACAGAGAUUCCUUCACAGAUUGUCGGAAGUGAAACUCGGCGCACGCACGCGCUUGUACGGAGAUCGAGAAGCAAGUUAACUGUGCCGGCUCCUGCGGGCUGCUUCGUGUUUUCUAUUGGAGUUGAAUUUUAUUUUUAUUAAUGUUUUGUUUCAUGUAAAUUGUCAUUAGAGCAAGCAUACAUGUUCGUGCUGUCCGUUUAAGUAACGUGUAGAGGCCGGCGAGGCACCCUCUCCGAAAAGAGAAAAGACUGACAAACAGAGGGAGCGAAGAGAGCGAGCGAGGCAUACAACAUACGUAUCCGUCCGAGUUCCCAGACCGUGUCGACGGCGGUAAUCCAGCAUGGAGAACGCGCACAUCAAGACGGUGGAUGAAGUUUUCGCCUAUUUCAGCGUGAAUGAAAGCACGGGGCUAAGCCUGGACCAGGUGAAAAAGCAAAGGGAGAAGUUUGGCCCGAAUGAGCUACCAGCUGAAGAAGGAAAAUCAUUGUGGGAGCUUGUAAUUGAACAGUUUGAAGAUUUGCUAGUUCGAAUUCUUCUAUUGGCAGCUUGCAUAUCUUUUGUGUUGGCGUGGUUUGAAGAGGGAGAAGAAACAAUCACAGCCUUUGUGGAACCUUUUGUAAUAUUACUUAUUUUAAUAGCCAAUGCUAUUGUAGGGGUGUGGCAGGAGAGAAAUGCAGAAAAUGCCAUUGAAGCUCUUAAAGAAUAUGAGCCAGAAAUGGGAAAGGUGUAUCGACAGGAUAGGAAGAGUGUCCAGAGAAUUAAGGCAAGAGAUAUUGUUCCUGGAGAUAUUGUUGAAGUAGCAGUUGGAGACAAAGUUCCUGCAGAUAUUCGAAUUUGCUCCAUCAAAUCAACAACUCUGAGAGUUGAUCAGUCCAUUCUAACAGGGGAGUCUGUGUCAGUUAUAAAGCAUACUGACCCAGUGCCAGACCCACGAGCAGUAAACCAGGACAAAAAGAAUAUGCUUUUUUCUGGCACCAAUAUUGCUGCUGGGAAAGCUGUUGGAGUUGUAGUUGCCACUGGUGUUAACACCGAAAUAGGCAAAAUCAGAGAUGAGAUGGCAGCCACUGAACAAGAAAAGACACCUUUACAGCAGAAAUUAGAUGAAUUUGGUGAACAGCUAUCCAAGGUCAUAUCUCUAAUAUGCAUAGCUGUGUGGAUCAUCAAUAUUGGACACUUCAAUGAUCCUGUCCAUGGUGGAUCUUGGAUCCGUGGUGCUGUCUACUAUUUCAAGAUUGCUGUGGCCUUGGCUGUGGCAGCUAUACCAGAGGGCCUACCUGCUGUCAUUACUACCUGUUUGGCCCUUGGUACUCGUAGGAUGGCCAAGAAGAAUGCCAUUGUUCGAAGUCUGCCUUCUGUUGAGACCUUGGGCUGCACUUCUGUCAUCUGUUCUGAUAAAACUGGCACUCUUACUACAAACCAGAUGUCUGUGUGCAGGAUGUUUAUCAUUGACAAGACAGAGGCAGACAGCUGUACUUUAAAUGAGUUUACCAUCACUGGAUCAACAUAUGCACCCGAGGGAGAAGUGUAUAAAGACGGAAAGCCUAUUAAAUGUUCACAGUAUGACAGCCUUAUUGAAGUGGCCACAAUCUGUGCCUUGUGUAAUGAUUCAUCUCUGGAUUACAACGAGGCUAAGGGUGUAUUUGAAAAGGUUGGUGAAGCAACUGAAACUGCACUCACCUGUUUAGUGGAGAAAAUGAAUGUAUUUGAUACAGACUUGAAGGCUCUGUCUAAGAUUGAACGUGCCAACUGCUGCAAUUCUGUAAUUAAACAGUUGAUGAAGAAAGAGUUCACCUUGGAGUUCUCCAGAGACAGAAAGUCAAUGUCUGUAUAUUGUACUCCUAACAAAACACGAGGUGGCAGUGCAGGAAAGAUGUUUGUCAAGGGUGCCCCAGAAGGAGUACUGGACAGAUGUACUUAUAUUCGUGUGGGUCAGACCAAAGUUCCCAUGACAAUUGGCAUCAAAGAAAAAAUCAUGUCCGUGAUAAGAGAGUGGGGUACUGGCAGAGAUACACUACGUUGUCUUGCACUUGCAACUCGUGACAGCCCAUUGAGGAAGGAGGAAUUAAAACUGGAAGAUUCUUCACGAUUUGCAGAAUAUGAGAGUGACCUCACUUUUGUUGGUUGUGUGGGAAUGCUGGAUCCUCCUAGAGCUGAAGUUGCUGCCUCCAUUAAGCUCUGUAGGAUGGCUGGUAUACGUGUGAUCAUGAUCACUGGAGACAAUAAGGGUACAGCUGUAGCAAUUUGCCGACGUAUUGGCAUCUUUGGGGAGGACGAUGAUGUAACUCAGAAGGCAUUCACAGGUCGUGAAUUUGAUGAUCUGUCUCCCAGUGCCCAGAGAGAUGCAGUCGUCAAUGCCCGUUGCUUUGCAAGAGUUGAGCCAUCUCACAAGUCAAAAAUUGUUGAAUUUCUUCAGUCAUUUGAUGAAAUCACUGCUAUGACAGGGGAUGGUGUAAAUGAUGCACCUGCCCUCAAGAAGGCAGAAAUUGGUAUUGCUAUGGGCUCUGGAACGGCUGUAGCAAAAACUGCAUCUGAGAUGGUAUUGGCUGAUGACAAUUUUGCUACCAUUGUAGCUGCGGUGGAGGAGGGCCGAGCCAUUUAUAAUAAUAUGAAACAGUUUAUUCGCUACCUCAUUUCCUCUAAUGUGGGGGAAGUUGUCUGUAUUUUCUUGACUGCUGCACUUGGAUUUCCGGAGGCACUUAUCCCAGUUCAGUUGCUAUGGGUGAACCUGGUUACUGAUGGCUUGCCAGCUACAGCUCUAGGUUUCAAUCCCCCUGACUUGGACAUCAUGAAUAAACCCCCACGGAAUGCCAGAGAACCCUUAAUUAGUGGCUGGCUGUUCUUCAGAUAUUUGGCCAUUGGAGGCUAUGUAGGAGCUGCCACUGUAGGUGCAGCGGCAUGGUGGUUUAUGGCAGCUGAAGAUGGCCCUCGCGUGACCUUCCACCAACUGAAUCAUUUCCUGCAGUGUACACCUGAAAAUCCAGAUUUCCAGGAUGUUGACUGUGAAGUUUUUGAGUCGCCCUAUCCUAUGACCAUGGCUUUGUCUGUCCUUGUGACCAUUGAAAUGUGCAAUGCCCUAAACAGUUUGUCAGAAAACCAGUCCCUGUUGAGGAUGCCUCCUUGGGAGAAUGUAUGGUUGCUAGGAGCCAUCUGCUUAUCUAUGUCCCUGCAUUUCUUGAUUCUCUAUGUUGAGCCACUGCCUUUAAUUUUCCAGAUCACCCCAUUGAACAUUACACAGUGGCUGAUGGUGCUGAAAAUUUCACUUCCCGUCAUCCUCUUAGAUGAAUUGCUCAAAUUUGCUGCCCGUAACUACUUGGAGCCUGGUAAAGAGCUUGCAAAGCCUUCGGGCAGUGGUUGUGCUUUGUCAGCAUGCACAGAGGGGAUAUCGUGGCCGUUUGUGCUGGUCUCUGCACCCCUUGUAGCCUGGCUCUACAGUACAGACACUAACAUUUCUGACAUGUUCUGGUCUUGACUGACAGAGGUUUGUUUUGGAUAAAGUCAAGGAAAACUAAUAAAACUACCCUUAAUGUGUUAUUUUUUUAUGUUACCAUUAAAAAGAGCUGUCUGAUUCUGCUGAAUUGGUUAAUACAAAACUGUUAAAGGGUUAUGGGUGUUUAUGGCCCUCCCCCUAUAUUUUUAUUUAUUUUUUUUUUAAUCUAUUUAGGUUUGUUUCAAGAAAAUAAACCAGGGAGUUGGUGGGGCUUGGGGGUGUGGAUGGUUGGGUUCCCAAAGAUAGGUUUAAACAUAAAUUCAUUUGUUCAUGUACAGAGAUUUAACACUAUUUUAUGCAAAUAUUUGUUUUUGUAGAUGUUUUUGAGAGGAAGGAGCAUGUACAGCAUUUUGUUUACUAAUAUGUUUUAGCCAUUAUUUUUGCCUAUUUUGUAAAAAUGGAGAACCAUGUAGGCUAACGGACAUACAUUCUUCAAGGGAUGCUUUGGUAGGAUCUUUUAGAAAAGAAAGUUUACUUCUGGGAACUAUUAAAACAAAACCGCAUGUACUGUGUUUCAAGCAUGGCAAAGUGGGUGUGUUUAUUUAUUUUUUAUUUUAGUUUUUUUUUUCUUUUCCCUCCUGUAUCAACUGUUUUUACAUGCCUGUACCAGUUUUUUUUUUUUUUUAUAUAUUUCAAUGCCAGUUUUUCUGCAUUUGGAGCAGAACUCAGCUACCUCAAGCAAAAUUGCUUUUGUUUGUGUAACCUAUGUUAAUUAUUCUUGUUUACACCCUUCCCUCCUAUAAUUUGAGGUCCUUCCCUUCUGUGUUUGAGGUAUGCCCAUUCUUGCUUCUGCAGAAAAUUCUGCUUCCCAUGUUUGUCGUUCAUAAGAUUUUAAAAGUAUUUAUUUUUUUUUAUUCUAUCUGAUCCUUUAAGUUUUUCUUAUGUCAUUCACUGACCAUCCUACACAGCUAAUUUUAUUUGAAUUGAAGUUGGAAAAAAAUAAAUAAAAAAAAUGGUAUGUGUUUGUACUCUUAUGUUUGCUAAAGAGAUUCAUUGUGUCUUAACUUGUAUGGCAUAUUCAUAUACUUGAAUGUCUGUCACCUGCAGAUGGACACACUAUGUUAACCAGUCUUGUAUAUUUUUAGUCGCUUAAUGGCCAUUAUUAAGGGGAUAUUGUGAGAAGGCUGUAAAUGUGUACAUAGCCAUUAACCUAUUGAGUACCUCUGUAUUAUAGAAAAUACCACAUCAGUAGUACAUAAAAAAGACAGACCUGUAGUUUAGCUUGUUCAGUAUAAUCGGCAGUAGAUUAGUAUACCUCUGGAGCAUGUUUUCUGCAAUACCAAGGCACUACUACUAUGUUAACAAGCUUAACUGUAUUUCUUCCAAUGCCUACCCGAGUCCAUCACCUAAACCAGGGAAGAGUAAAGCCCAGUUUAAAAAAAAAAAAAAAAGUAUGAAAAUGUAAGGGUUUUUUUUAGCGUGCAUGUGUGUUUUGAGCAGCACUACAUUUAUCAAGAUCAGUGCAUGUGCAAUCAAGGAAGAAGGAAAAUGGUGUGUUCUUGUAGAAAGCAAGUCUGGUUUAAAAAGGAAAAAAAAAUAAAUACGUAAAUAAGCGUGAGGACAUCAGUAACUGCUGAAGAGAUUUCCUGGACUCCGCCGCUGCAUGAAGCCUGUUUUUUGGCUUAGUUUUGAAUGUUAACGAAGAGGCUGGAAGUUGGCGUGUUAACUUAAAUCACACUUCCUUCUGUAGACAAUGCCCUAGAGAAUACCAAUGUACUGAAAACUGUAAUGCAUGUCUCCAGGUGGCAGUAGCCAAAAUGUUCUGGCGUUUCAUUUUUAAAAGCUAUGUACAAUAUUGCAGUUAUAUAUAAAUCAGUUUGUUCUUCAGUGUUAAUACUGUAAACCCCUCCUCCAUAAUUUGAUAGAGCCUGAUAUUUUUCCUAAGGAAAGCUUGUGUGUGCAAAAUACAUUACUAGAAGUUUUAUUUUAUUUUUUGCACCGUAAAAGUAACUUAUUGAAGUAUAUAGCAGUAGUAGAUUACUGCACAGUUAGUUUGUGAUGCAUAUGUGUUAAUGCAAUCUGUAACAUUUGGCAUGGUCCUUCAUGUAAAUAUGAUCAGCUGUUAAUUUUAUUUGAUUGUAAUAAGCAUCACUGUUCAUGCUUUCAGACAAAAAAAAAUCUGGGAUAUAAAAUUGCUUUGGUUUGAAUGUGGUGUAGCAUUAGAGCUAUUAUGCUCUCUUCUUUCUUUUUUUUCUUUUUCAUGUUACACAAGUUUACAACAUUCACGAAAAAAUAGUGUGGGGAAAAAUGAAUAUAAAAGGGUGAAUGUUUCCUCUUCAUUUUUAAGUGAUUAAAUUAUACCAACUGAACAUUU